GCCUAGUUAGCUUAGUUGGUAGUGCGUCUGCCUUCUAAGCGCUAGGCCGCGGGUUCGAUUCCCGCCCGGGGC
rnacentral:tRNA from 1 species